UACUAGAAUCAAGGAUAAAUAGAGGAUGACUUUUUAAAAAUUUUUCAUAAUGUAAAAAGUUUGGAAAAAAAGUGAAAAUGAGUAAUUCUUGUGUCAAAAUUAUUUUCUACUUGAAUUUAGUGUUUUUAUUAACAGCAAGUGCUGUUGAUGAAAGUGCAAACGAAAGGAAUGAACUAAACCCAAUAAAAGAGAGAAUAAAUUCUCACUACUAUGAAUUUGUUAACGAAUUAUAUAGCAACAGAUAUUUAAUUGGCAAUUGCUCUCAUGAAGAUGAUGCAUUACUUGAUAUAAACAGUUUAAACGAAGAUCUUGAAAAUUUUGAAUUAUUAUUUACUGAAACUACACUAAAUAAUAAAACUCUUAUGAUAUUACAUGAAAAAGAAAUUAUUAGAUAUUUAAAAUUUUUAAAAAAUGAUCUACAUGAUAUGAAUUCAUGUAGAAAUAAAAACAAAAUAUUUAAAGAAAAUGAUUACAAAAUAAUCAAUGAAUCGAGAAAAUUUUUAUUACAUAAGAGUGACGAAAUCUCAAGAUAUUAUUGGGUAUUAAACGUCUUUCGUUGUCCACAGAAGGAUAAGGAAAUAAAUGAUUUUCAAAACAGAAUAAAUUCGGACAGAAAAAAUAAAAAUUUAACGAUCCAUGAAACGUAUUUAAAUCUAAGACAAAUCUACUACAAUACUUUGCUUGACUUUGAUAAAAAUUUUGAAUUCCUAAUUCAUUGUGCAGCUCGUAAAAUUAGAAAUAAUUGUGAAACAUUUCUUAAAAGGAGUAACAAAUUACUUUCCAACUAUGAAAAGUUUAAUAUCAAAAUUGGAAUUCAAGAAUAUUUGUUAACUGAAAAAACAUAUUUAUCUUUUCAAAAGUAUUUUAAAUACAUUCAAGAGUGUGCAAGCUUGAAAAGAAAAUUUCCAAAUAAAAGAAACGAUAUCUUUAAUAAUUGGAUGAUUAAAAAAAAUAGAAAACAUUUUC